GAUGAAGAACGCAGCGAAAUGCGAUAAGUAAUGUGAAUUGCAGAAUUCCGUGAAUCAUCGAAUCUUCGAACGCACAUUGCGCCCCCUGGUAUUCCGGGGGGCAUGCCUGUCCGAGCGUCAUUGCAACCCUCAAGCGCGGCUUGUGUGUUGGGCUUCGUCCCCCCGUGGACGUGCCCGAAAGGCAGUGGCGGCGUCCCGAAUGGUGCCCGAGCGUAUGGGAACUCUCUUCCGCUCGAACCGGCCCAUUCGGCGCUGGUCGAACCCCAAUUUUUUUUUACCGGUUGACCUCGGAUCAGGUAGGGAUACCCGCUGAACUUAAGCAUAUCAAUAAGCGGAGGA
rnacentral:misc_RNA from 1 species